CCUACGGGCGGCAGCAGUGGGGAAUAUUGGGCAAUGGGCGCAAGCCUGACGCAGCAACGCCGCGUGAAGGAAGAAGGCUUUCGGGUUGUAAACUUCUUUUCUCAGGGACGAAGGAAGUGACGGUACCUGAGGAAUAAGCCACGGCUAACUACGUGCCAGCAGCCGCGGUAAUACGGGGGGUGCGAGCGUUAAUCGGAAUUACUGGGCGUAAAGGGCUCGUAGGCGGUAUGUCAAGUCAAGGGUGAAAUCCCCGGGCUUAACGUGGGAAGUGCCUUUGAAACUGGCAAACUGGAGUGUGUGAGAGGAGAGUGGAAUUCCAGGUGUAGGAGUGAAAUCCGUAGAUAUAUGGAGGAACAUCAGUGGCGAAGGCGACUAUCUGGCACAUAACUGACGCUGAGGAGCGAAAGCGUGGGUAGCAAACAGGAUUAGAUACCCUGGUAGUC
rnacentral:rRNA from 1 species